UGUGUGUGUGUGUGUGUGUGUGUGUCUGUGUGUACUUCUCCAGAGGCUCCUGACACUGCUCAUACAAAUAGUUUAUUCAACUCGACAAACAGCACUAGUACCACCUCAACCACAGACAGACAGACAGGUUCAGCAGACAGACAGGUAUAGAGACAGACAGGUACAGCAGACAGACAGACAGAUAGACAGGUUCGGCAGACAGACAGGUUCAGCAGACAGACAGGUCAGUGUGUUUGUGUCUCUGAGACAUGAAGCAGAACUCUCAGGAAUGUUUCUGUCACUGUAAACUAAACAUCG